rnacentral:rRNA from 1 species
UACGGAGGGUCCAAGCGUUAUCCGGAUUUAUUGGGUUUAAAGGGUGCGUAGGUGGGUUAUUAAGUCAGUGGUGAAAGCCUGCAGCUUAACUGCAGAAUUGCCAUUGAUACUGAUAAUCUUGAGUACAGUUGAGGCGGGCGGAAUGUGUCAUGUAGCGGUGAAAUGCUUAGAUAUGACACAGAACACCGAUUGCGAAGGCAGCUCGCUAAACUGCAACUGACACUGAGGCACGAAAGCGUGGGGAGCAAACAGG